AACCUUGAAAUACACAGGAGUGUGUAUGGGUUUUAGUUUAGAAAAGCUGAGUAUGAGACUAGGGUAGAUUGAGAAUGAGUUGAGAUGAGCUGAGUUGAGACAAAACGUUUAUUCAUUCUACCCAAAAGACGCUGUUCUUUUGGGUUUGUUUC
rfam:Bacillus licheniformis ATCC 14580, complete genome.